ensembl:lncRNA
GCUUAGCCUACACCACCUAACACAGAGGCGCCACUGGGUGGAGUUGAACCCGAGGCAUCUGUCUGGGAGGCGACAGUGCUAACCACUACACCACUGUACCGUGUCAACUGCUGCCGUUAGAAUGUCUUAUGACUCCAAUUUCGAAAAAAUUCAGAUUUUUAUUCAAAUGUACGUUUUCUCACCGUCGUGCCCCUUCAUAUGACUAAAGAUAGAAUUUCAUGACUUUUUGCAAAAUAUUUUGGGAUUUUUUUCAGAUGCGGAAUUUUUCAAAAAUUUUUUCCAUUACUUUUACAAGUAUGGAGUGAACCCAAUGCAGGCUUAGCCUACACCACCUAACACAGAGGCGCCACUGGGUGGAUUGAACCCGAGGCAUCUGUCUGGGAGGCGACAGUGCUAACCACUACACCACUGUACCGUGUCAACUGCUGCUGUUAGAAUGUCUUAUGACUCCAAUUUCAAAAAAAUUCAUAUUUUUAUUCAAAUGUACGUUUUCUCACCGUCGUGCCCCUUCAUAUGACUAAAGAUAGAAUUUCAUGACUUUUUGC